GGUCUGUUCGCCCUUUAAAAUCUAACAUGAGCUGAGUUCAGAACGGCGUGAGCUAGUUCAGUUUCUAUCCUCUUUUUGAAAUGAGCUAAUUUUGUACGAAAGGACUUUUUCGCUAAAGCAAUGCUUUGUCACAAAUCUGUGGUUGCAUAAAUAAUAGUGCAUAAUAGGUUGAUUAGCCUAUAGAAAAGGUUA
rnacentral:rRNA from 1 species